rnacentral:rRNA from 1 species
GCAGACAACGAAUGCCUAGGAUACUGAAGCCGAAGAAGGACGUACGUGGCCACGAAAGUCGUCGGGGAGCUGCCAAGAAGCUUUGAUCCGGCGGUGUCCGAAUGGGGAAACCCCCUCUUUAUGAGGACCCCGCCUAUGGCGGGGGGGGCACGCCCUGAACUGAAACAUCUAAGUAAGGGCAGGAAAAGAAAUCAACGUUCGCGCAAGCGAGAGAGAUUCCGUAAGUAAGCGGUGAGCGAAAGCGGAACAGCCUAAACCCCGCCGCAAGGCGAGGGUGUUGCGGGAAGGCCGAGUGACCGGCAAGGGUAGUCGAACUGUCUGGAAAGGCAGGCUAUAAAACGUGACAGCCGUGUAGGCGAAACCCAAGCCGGCGUGAAGCCGAAUUCCCAAGUACCAUGAGGCACAUACCUUGUGGGAAUCCGGGGUGACCACACUCCAAGGCUAAAUACUUCAGUGUACCGAUAGUGAACUAGUACCGUGAGGGAAAGGCGAAAAGAAGGGUGAGAAACCUAGUGAAAUAGAACCUGAAAUUGUCUGCUGUCAAGCAGACGGAGUCCCGCCUUUGGCGGGAUGACGUCGUGCCUAUUGAAGAAUGAUCCGGCGAGUUUUCGUUACAUGCAUGUCUAAUCCGUCUAAAGCGGAGGAGGCGUAGUGAAAGCGAGGGUUAACAGCCCGUAUAUUGCAUGUGAUGGAAGACCCGAAACCUGGUGAGCUAACCAUGAGCAGGGUGAACCCCGUCGAAAGACGGGGGGAGGCCCGCACUCGUCAGAGUUACAAAUCUGUGAGAUGACUUGUGGUUAGGGGUAAUAUGCCAAUCGAACCAGGAGAUAGCUGGCUCUCCCCGAAAUAUAUACAGGGCAUCUUUAGGUGUCCUAUUCAAUCAAACUCCGAAUUCUUGAAAGCUACAUCUUAGGAGUCAGAACGACCCGGCUAAGCGGGCCGCUCUAAAGGGAAACAACCCAGACUGUCGUCUAAGGCCUCUAAAUGAAUGCUCAGUGUUGAACGAAGUCAAAUUCCUCAGACAGCCAGGAGGUUGGCUCAGAAGCAGCCAUCCUUUAAAGAAAGCGUAACAGCUCACUGGUCGACCUUGGAAUUUGGCGCGGAAAAUGAACCGAGGCUUAAGCAUUCUGCCGAAGACACAGAUUUUUUUGACGUUCGCGUCAAAAAAGUGGUAGGGGAGCGUUGAAGGAGCAGUGAAGUCCCUCUGUAAAGAUCGGGAUGGAGCGACUUCAAGUGAGAAUGCCGGAAUGAGUAGCGUAAGCCCGAUGAGAAUUCGGGCCGCCGAAACCCCAAGGUUUUCCCAGCCAUGUUGUUCAGCUGGGAGUGAGUCGGCACCUAAGGUGAGGCCUAAGUUGGCGUAACCGAUGGACGAGCCGUUAACAUUCGGCUACAUGAUAAGUAUCGUUAUAAAAUCAGGGAUGGACAAAAUGAGAAUAUCCGAACGCACGUAGUGAAUGUGGCGUUUAAGCAGCAAGACAGUUAGGCUUGGAAAAACCGGUCUGACGUUUAAUUGAGCUGUGAUGAGAAGUCUGGCGAGAAAUCAACGGGCAACUCGGACGGUUUUUGUUUUCCAGAAAAGAUUCGUGGUGAGAUAUUUAUUAUGCCGUACCGCAAACCGACACUGGUGGGGUGGUCGAGUAGACCAAGGCGAUCGGGAGAAGGUAGUUCAAGGAACUCGGCAAAAAAUCUGGACGUAAUCUAGAGAGAUGUCCUUCCCGCCUAUGGCGGGACGCAGCGAAAGAUUAUUCCCCGACUGUUUAACUAAAACACAGGUCUGUGCAAACUUGAAAGAGAAAGUAUACAGGCUGAGGCCUGCCCAGUGCUCGUAAGUUAAGUGGAUGGCUGAGAUUACAUCAAGGCUUGAAAUGAAGCCCGAGUGAACGGCAGCAGUAACUAUGUCGAACUGUUCUAUGGUAGCGAAGUUCCUUGUCGGGUAAGCGGCAGUUCCGACCCGCACGAAAGGCUUAACGAGGGAAUAACUGUCUUGAACUAUCACCCGGCGAAUUUGAAAUGGCUGUGAAGAUGCGGCCUAACUCUACUAGGACAAAAAGACCCUAUGGAGCUUUACUGUACCCAGGCCCUGUUUUGGAUUUUGAGAUAGUUUAGAGUAGGAGGGAGUUCUCGGACAAAAGUGAAACACCUCCCGUUUUGGAAUUUCAAAACUUACCCAGACCAGCUGGAAACGCUGGUGGGGACGAGGUCUGGAUGGCAGUUUUACUGGGGAGGUAUCCUGCUAAAAGGUAACGCAGGAGUACCAAGGUGCACUAGGCUCGGAUGGAAAUCGAGCGAGUCGUAUAACGGCAUAAGUGCGCUUGACUGCGAGAGCGACGGUUCGAGCAGGGACGAAAGUCGGUCGUAAUGAUCCUCGUUAGCCUUGUGGGAGGCUACGAGCUUAACGGAUAAAAGCUACCCUAGGGAUAACAGGCUGAUCGCCGCCAAGAGUCCAUAUCGACGCGGCGGUUUGGCACCUGAUGUCGGCUCACCCUAUCCUGGAGGGGCAGUACCUUCCAAGGGUCCGUCUGUUCGCCGGUUAAAAGGGUACGCGAGCUGGGUUCAGAACGUCGUGAGACAGUUGGUCGGUCUCUAUCCAGUAGAGUCGUGGAGUUUUUGAGGGGGUCUGACCUCAGUACGAGAGGACCAGGUUGGAGGCACCACUGGUGUGCCGGUUGUAGCGUCAGCUGCACCGCCGGGUAGCUAAGUGCCUACGGGAUAACCGCUGAAAGCAUCUAAGUGGGAAGCCCUACCCAAGAUAAGAAACUCGUCCCGCCGUAAGGCGGGUAAAGACACGGGGUAGACUACCCCGUAUAAGAGGCUGGCGGUGUAAGUUCGGUAACGGAUUUAGCCUACCAGUACUAAUAAGUC